GUCCCGAGCCAACAACACCAUGCCCGGAAUUGUAUACACAAGAGAUGUGCCAGUCAGCCUCAAACCUGAAACUCCAUCGGGGUACAUACGUAACGAAGGAGCAGCUACGUCACCGAGGGGCUGUCGCACAGAUGGUGCAGCAAAAGUAUGAAAAUGAGGAAACUUUGUGCAUGCAUGAGGAGACUGGAGGAGGGUAUUUUGGGAAAAGUAAACAGUUAGGGAGGGGUGGAGCACCCUGAAACAGCAAUGUACAGCUUGAAUCUUAUAUUGAACAUCUCUGUUGUUUUAUUGUGUGUAUUUUUGUGUACAUAAUAUCUACAGUGGCUAAUGAAGUUAAAUUUGACUUGAUAAAAGGGGAAAACUUGCAUGAAAGAUAAUGGCAUUAUUUUCUUUUUCAUAUUUUUAUUUUAUUUAUUUUUUAUUUAACCCGUAUUUUACCACGUAGGUACCGUUGAGACCUGGCUGAGACAGCAGCACACAAAAAGUUAUGGCCAAACAACCGUACAAUAAAAAAACAUAAAAGUUAUACAGUAACAUGUAGAAACAUUAGAACACCUAAACACAAUGACAAGACCCAACCGACUCAUUCAUCCUUGUGUUUAUGAGAGCUUUAAAGUCAGGUUGUGAAAACAAUUUGCGUAGUUUCAAAUCUUUUUGGUGGUUAUUCCAAUUGAGACGAUAGGUCCUUUUUCCCAGCUCAGUCCGAGCACAAGGAACAGACAACAAAACUAAAAUUUGAGAUCUCAGCCUGGAGCUAGUCAGAUCUCUGUUUAAUCAAAAUGCAAAUGUACGAAGGAAGAUUUCAUUCUAAUUGUUAUAAAAAGUGUCAUUCACUGAAAGCGGGUUUUCUGCAUUAAGUUGAAUCAAAUCUUCACACUUAGGGACUUCAGGUCCCUCAGGUCAGCUGGCUCCUGGCCCCAUGCUCCAGACUUUAGCUCAGGGGUGAUCAUGCCUUUGUUGUCUGCCCCCAAACCUACUUUUAUUCAUCAGCGUUUGAGUCCCCAUGAUGUGGUCUUCCCUGACAAGCGCCUGUGUGUCUCUAAAUGUGUGAGCUGUGUAUCUGACAGUUAUGUUGCCUCUUGUGUUUUUAGCAUUUUAUCCCUUUUGUACAGCACUUUGGUCAACGUGGGUUAUUUUUAAAUGUGCUUUAUAAAUAAUCUGAGUUGAGAUAUAACUUGCAAACCCCCCUGUCAAUACCUUACCCAAUUUGGGGUUUAUAUGAGAUAUAUAAUGGGAGCAUACUGCAUUAACACUAAUAAGAAUAAAAGCUGCCAUUUUCCCUUCAAUGCCUGUCUUGUGCUGUCAGAGAAGUGAGGUGCUCUCUAAAUGUUAACAUGCACUGAAUGUAAAACUUGCAGCCUCCGCAGCCAAUGAAAUACAGACAGCCUACGUCACCGCUGUAACAAACAGGUGCUGUGGGAACGUGGGAGUCGGUCUGCCAUUCACAACUUCCUCAAGACAGCAACAACUCCAUAAGCAUCUGAAUGAAAAGCGUUAAACAAACACAAAGCUAAGAAAACCGACCAUGGGAGAGGAAAUUACGUUUCAAAACCCGAGUGUCGAGCAAAAGUAGCACAACGAGUGUCAAACUGAGCAACUAACUAGCGACGCUUCCGACUAUGGAGCCGUGUUACAACUACAUUCUCCCUCAAACAGACACGGCCACGGAAAGCGAGGCUGCAGUAUUUAUAGACACCUCAACUCCACUCGUAGCGACGUUAUAGUCACAUAGAGGCAAAUGUGUCUGCUACCUACAUGCUAACCGUUAGCACACAACAGCGAUUCACCAUCCCCUUUAUGGCCUGGCAACACAAGCACCGACCUCGAGUUACAGCACGACGCUUUCCCCCCACGCCCGCCAUUUAGAGCGUGGCGCAGGAGGGCAGCGAAUUACACUCCAUUUCAAGCAGCUGUGUAUCCUGCACAUGUUAACUCCUGCAAGACUCCUUCACAGCUGCACCAUGCUCCUGAGGGACUUUUUUGGACUUCUAGAUUAACAAAAAUGAUUUUAAAAAGUUUGGAUCAUGUGUGGCAAGCAACAUUGUAUGAAACGUUUACUAUAUGGAUCAAAACUUGACUGGAAAAAUACACGGUUUCACUUUAUUAUGGGGCAACCACAUUGUGUUUAUGGGUGGAUUAUGAUCGUGGGCACAGACAUGCAAAAGGCCCCACAAACUUUUCUACACAGGAGCAAGAAACACAGACUUUGUGGUGGUUUGGGCUCCUUUUUUGUUUCUAUUUUGCAUCUUUUUGUGGUUUUAUGUCUCUUUGUAGUAAUUUCAUGUCUGUUAGUGGUUGUUUUGCACCUGUUUGUAGUUAUUCUGUGUCUCUUGGAGCUAAUUUGAUGUCCUUUUUGCUUGUUUUAUGUUUCUUUGUAGUCAUUUUGAGUGUCUUUGUGGCUGUUUUGCCCUUUUCUGUAUUCAUUUUGUGUCUUUUUGUAGUUGUUUUGUGUCUCUUUGCAGUUCCUUUGCACCUUUUUUUGGUCAGUUUGAGUCUCUUCCUCAUCUGUACAUAUAAAUUUGAGUGACAUUUUGCAUGUAAAGGACAGAGGGGCCUCUGGGCCUGUGCCCACCAAGACCAUUCAGUAAUCCAUCCAUGAGCGUGUUGUGCCUAUCCAAAUAAAAUGAGUAGAAAAGA